rnacentral:rRNA from 1 species
CCCUAGUAACGGCGAGUGAAGCGGGAAGAGCCCAGCACCGAAUCCCCUGUCUGUGAGGCAGCGGGACCUGUGGUGUUUAGGACAGCCUUUGGGGUUCCGUUGUCGCGUCCGAGUCCUCCUGAUCGGGGCCUUUCCCAUAGCGGGUGUCAGGCCUCUACUGGCGYGCGACGGAGUCUCUUUGAGCGCCCUAGGAGUCGGGUUGUUUGGGAAUGCAGCCCAAAGUGGGUGGUAACUCCAUCUAAGGCUAAAUACUGACACGAGUCCGAUAGCGGACAAGUACCG